GCAAACUUGGUCAUUUAGAGGAAGUAAAAGUCGUAACAAGGUUUCCGUAGGUGAACCUGCGGAAGGAUCAUUAUCGAGUGCGCCCCCCUCAUAAAAAAGGGGGGUACCUCCCGUCCUUUGCUGGCCCCCUAGAGGGCUUUUUUAAACUUCUGCUUCGGCGGGGUUACCCGCCGGAACACCCUCAAAACUCUUUGGCAAAACCGUUCAGUCCGAGAGCUUUUAUGAAUUAGUGAAAAACUUUCAACAACGGAUCUCUUGGUUCUGGCAUCGAUGAAGAACGCAGC
rnacentral:misc_RNA from 1 species